UACGUAGGUGACAAGCGUUGUCCGGAUUUACUGGGCGUAAAGAGCGCGCAGGCGGUCGAUCAAGUCGAGUGUGAAAGCCCCCGGCUCAACUGGGGAGGGUCAUUCGAUACUGAUCGACUCGAAGGCAGGAGAGGGUAGUGGAAUUCCCGGUGUAGUGGUGAAAUGCGUAGAUAUCGGGAGGAACACCAGUGGCGAAGGCGGGUUGCUGGGCUGACACUGACGCUGAGGCGCGAAAGCUAGGGGAGCGAACGGG
rnacentral:rRNA from 1 species